rnacentral:snRNA from 1 species
AUGGCUCUAAGUCAAGUAAUAACCCUUCCUCUGUUCUAAUCAGUGUGAAAACUGAUUACCAUAUUUAAUAUGGUUUUUUUUUCACAUUCAUUUUUAUAGAUUCCUGGGGUUCAGGCGGCUUGCCACUGACCUCGGGACAGGUUUCCGAGGGCCCAGCACUCCUCCCUUGUGAAGCCUAACACUU